rnacentral:rRNA from 1 species
GACGAACGCUGGCGGCGUGCCUAAUACAUGCAAGUAGGACGCAGUUGCGAACGGGUGAGUAACGCGUAGGUAACUACCUAUUAGAGGGGGAUAACUAUUGGAAACGAUAGCUAAUACCGCAUACUAGUAGAUGGACCUGCGUUGUAUUAGCUAGUAGGUAGGGUAAUGGCCUACCUAGGCCACGAUCCAUAGCCGACCAGGGAAGGUGAACCGCCACACUGAGACUGAGACACGGCCCAGACUCCGACGGUAGGAAGCAGUAGGGAAUAAGCGGCAAGGGGGGGAACCCUGACAGAGCAAGGCCGAGUGGGUGGAGAAGGGUUUCGGAUCGUAAAGCUCUGUUGUUAAGGAAGCGGUACUUAACCAGAAAGGGACGGCUAACUACGUGCCAGCAGCCGCGGUAAUAC